GACAGAGGUGGCGACCGUUGUUCGGAAUCACUGGGCAUAAAGCGCGCGUAGGCGGCAUGGUAAGUCGGGUGUGAAAUCCCUCGGCCCAACCGAGGAAUUGCGCUCGAAACUACCGUGCUUGAGGACAGGAGGGGAGUCUGGAAUUCCUGGUGGAGCGGUGAAAUGCGUUGAUAUCAGGAGGAACACCGGCGGCGAAGGCGAGACUCUGGCCUGUUUCUGACGCUGAGGCGCGAAAGCUAGGGGAGCAAACGGG
rnacentral:rRNA from 1 species